rnacentral:pre_miRNA from 1 species
AUGCUACUCCCUCUGUUCGGAAUUAUUUGUCUCGGAAAUGGAUGUAUCUAGAACUAAAAUAUGUCUAGAUAUAUUCAUUUCUGCGACAAGUAAUUCUGAACGGAGGGAGUACCUA